UCUCUAAGCAAUGGAUGUCUUGGCUCCUCACACGAUGAAGAACGUGCAUAAUGUGUUAAGUAACCGGAGUUGCAAACAUCAUGACAGGUUAAUCUUUGAAUGCAAAUUGCGCUAAACUCGAUCUCGGUCAGAAGCAUGGGUGGACAGUAC
rnacentral:rRNA from 1 species